GACGAACGCUGGCGGCGUGCUUAACACAUGCAAGUCGAACGGAAAGGCCCUGCUUUUGUGGGGUGCUCGAGUGGCGAACGGGUGAGUAACACGUGAGUAACCUGCCCUUGACUUUGGGAUAACUUCAGGAAACUGGGGCUAAUACCGGAUAGGAGCUCCUGCUGCAUGGUGGGGGUUGGAAAGUUUCGGCGGUUGGGGAUGGACUCGCGGCUUAUCAGCUUGUUGGUGGGGUAGUGGCUUACCAAGGCUUUGACGGGUAGCCGGCCUGAGAGGGUGACCGGCCACAUUGGGACUGCGAUACGGACCAGACUCCUACGGGAGGCAGCAGUGGGGAAUAUUGCACAAUGGGCGGAAGCCUGAUGCAGCAACGCCGCGUGCGGGAUGACGGCCUUCGGGUUGUGAACCGCUUUCGCCUGUGACGGAGCGUGAGUGACGGUAAUGGGUAAAGAAGCACCGGCUAACUACGUG
rnacentral:rRNA from 1 species